UGCACCCUUCAUUUCCCAGGAAAAUGAAGUGCACAUUUGAUGGACACUUCGCACCCUACCAUAUCCCAGAAUCACUUGCGCGCAGAUGACAACAGUGUUUAUAUUCAAAGAACAGUGCAGGGUUUGCCAAACGCCAUAAAACAUCAAAUGAAGAAGAAAAAGAACAGGGUGGGUGAGAGCUCUGUCGGGGAAUUCACAUUAAAAUUACUAUUCUGAAGAAAAUUAGUCUGCUGGGGAAAGAUUGAAAAAAUACUAAGAUUGCAAGUGUCCUGGGACAGGUGAGGG